GCGGCUAUAGCUCAGCUGGGAGAGCGUCGUAUGUCCAAAUCCAUGCCUUUAACUGUAGACUAGGCUAACCCCUGACAGAGACUGAAGUUCAACUUCGGUUCCAGAAUAUCUGAAGGUCCUGUGUUCGAUCCACAGUGGCCGCA